UACAGAGGGUGCGAGCGUUAAUCGGAAUUACUGGGCGUAAAGCGCGCGUAGGCGGCUUUGCAAGCCGGAUGUGAAAUCCCCGGGCUUAACCUGGGAACUGCAUUCGGGACUGCAUUGCUUGAGUAUGGGAGAGGGAAGUGGAAUUUCAGGUGUAGCGGUGAAAUGCGUAGAUAUCUGAAGGAACAUCAGUGGCGAAAGCGACUUCCUGGACCAAUACUGACGCUCAUGUGCGAAAGCGUGGGGAGCAAACAGG
rnacentral:rRNA from 1 species